rnacentral:tRNA from 1 species
AAUUUUUUAAUAUAACAAAUAUAUUUAGCUUCCAACCAAAAAGUCUAGAAUUUCUAGAAAAAUUA